rnacentral:rRNA from 1 species
UUAGCUUGUUGGUGAGGUAAUGGCUUACCAAGGCAAUGAUCAGUAGCUGGUCUGAGAGGAUGAUCAGCCACACUGGGACUGAGACACGGCCCAGACUCCUACGGGAGGCAGCAGUGAGGAAUUUUCCGCAAUGGGCGAAAGCCUGACGGAGCAAUGCCGCGUGAAGGAUGAAGGCCUAUGGGUUGUAAACUUCUUUUCUCAGAGAAGAAUAUUGACGGUAUCUGAGGAAUAAGCAUCGGCUAACUCUGUGCCAGCAGCCGCGGUAAGACAGAGGAUGCAAGCGUUAUCCGGAAUGAUUGGGCGUAAAGCGUCUGUAGGUGGCUUCAAAAGUCUCCUGUCAAAGAUCAGGGCUUAACCCUGGGCCGGCAGGAGAAACUCUGAGGCUAGAGUUUGGUAGGGGCAGAGGGAAUUCCCGGUGGAGCGGUGAAAUGCGUAGAGAUCGGGAGGAAC